GGCUUCCGCUUCUGAAGGUUUAGGCGGCUUCCGGUGCCCGUGAAGGGCCCUAGGCUGUCUUCGCGCUCCCUCUCGUGACUCCCCUCCCCCUGCCACUCCUGACUCCUCCCCUUGCUCAGUUUCCCGUGCUGACUUCCACGUCACUGAGCUCAGUCCUGUUUCCGGUUCUCCAACAGGGUUCCCAGUCGGAACCCUUAGAGACUAUGAAGUUCCAUUCUCUCACUUUACAGCUGAUGGAGAGUGGAGUUAGUGGAACAGAAGAUGAAUUUUUGUUGAUUAAAAAAAA